UGACCGGGGGAAGAGAGAGGGCGUGACACACGCCGGAACAGCUGCCCCGUGGCGCUGACAAGUGCCUUGAUAUUUAUUACAGCAGUAAUACUAAUUGCUUGCUUUUUGAGAUACUAGCGGUGACAACGCAACAAGGGAACAUAAAUAGCGGUGAAAACAUUGUUAAACAGCAAGACUUGCAUUCAAACUGAGGUCAAAGGAGCAGUGGAAUCUAGCCUGAUAACUGAGGGGGAGUAACUGUUCUUGAACCUGGUGAUGCAACUCUACAGAGAGAAAGGAGCAUGGCCUGAGUGACAGUCAUCCAGCUACUCGCCUCCUACAACUUUGGUGUGACACUUCUCUGUAACUUUGAUCACUUAUACCCUCGCUUUUCUGUACAAGCUGAAGGUCAUCCAUUUGCUACUCCAGAUCCCUAAGACGGUCUUCAAGGAACUGCAGCCAGAUGCACUUCAUGCAGAUGUAGUUUCCAGGGGGACUCCAGGUCUCCCAAGACUCCAACAUCUGGGAUGAAGAACACACCACAGUUGUACAGUAAGGGGAAAAAGAUGAAGAGGAAACAGAACUUUACACAGAGCUGAUGCCUCUUCCAAUUCGAAGCCUCUAUUGAACCAAAGCCUGUUGCUUCUACUCUUGCCACUGGGCUACUCCCAAUAGUAUUCUAGAGCUCUUGAAAUGAAUGCCAACAUGGCAUUUACGUUCCUCAUCACCAACUCAACCUUCAAGUUAAUCUUCAGAGUGUUCUGCAUAAGGAUUCCCAAGUCCCUCUGUAUCUCAGAUUCCUGGAUUUUCUCCCUAUUUAGAAAAUAGUCCAUGCAUUUAUUUCUACUACCAAAGUGUAUGACCAUGCAUUUUCCAACAUUGUAUUUCAUUUGCCAGUUUCUUGUCCAUUCUCCUAAUCUGUCCAAGGCCUUCUGCAGCUUUCCCAUUUCCUCUACCUGCCCCUCCACCAAUCUUUAUAUCAUCUGCAAAUUAGGAAACAAAUAUUCCGUUAUCUAAAUCAUUGAUAGACAGCAUAAAAAGAAGUGGUCCCAACACCAUCCUCAGUGGAACACCACUAGUUACUGUCAUCCAACCAGAAAAGGAUCCUUUUAUUCCCAUUCACUGCCUCCUACCAAUCAACCAAUGCUCUAACCAUGGCAGUAACUUUCCUGUAAUACCACAGGCUCUUAACUUGGUAAGCAACCUCAUUUUAAAAAAAAUAUCUGAGUACACUUGCUGCAGGCUAGACUACAUCCAGCAGGAUUAACUGUACUUCUAGCCAGUCCAGUGGCUGCAUUGAUGUCUACCUGACAAUUGCGUAGGUAUAUCCUAUAAUCCUGUCUGCCUAAUUACUGCCCAGUCAAGCAACUCCAAAUUAACAACAUGGUGAUGCCAAUUGUCCAGGUACUCUCUAGAGUCACUGCAAUAAACUGCUCACCAAUGCCCUGGGAGGGUAGCACCUCCGAUGAAAGGGCUUGUUGUGUCCACUCUAGGGCAGCUCACCACCAGACACUCAGCUCUCACAUGUGGCUCCAAGUAGCUGUUGCAGUCACAUUCAAACAACACCCACUACACCUCUUCAACAGAUAGGCUAAACCAGAUGAGGGUAUCUGAGGUAAGGAUAUGCCAGUCUAGCAUGCAGUCAGAUCCAGCAGACUGGGCAGAUUAGAUCUACAGUGAGAUCCAAUGGCCAGGAAUAUGGUUCUGCAAUGUUCUGUGGAGAGCAAAGGGUAUGACAUGGCACAGAGGAUCACGGCCAUCCACUGCAAUCAAGGAAGGCCCCAGUUGUGAUGACGACUCGAAUCACUGGACUCGGACAUCCGAGGUCAAGAGUAUGGAACUGCCCCAAUGCAAUGGCUUUUCCACUUUAAAAACUCUCCUGCACAGGUUUCCUGUCAUUGGCAGGCAUAACAGACAACCACCAGCAAUGCUCUGUUUGGCAUUAGCCUCAACCGCUCCAGGUCUCACCAAUCUUGGACUAACAGCGAGGUCUUGACCUGAAGGAAGCAUUUGACUGAAUGUAACAUCAAGAAAGUAUGGAAUUUUUUUUUUGGAGUCUCUUGCUCCGUGCAAUUAUCCCUCACCUGUUAUGAAUAGAAGUGGCAAAACUGCAGAGCUGCACCCACUGAACUCAGAAGGUACUUAGCAGGUCAGGCAGCAUCUAUGUAGAUGAAUAAAGAGCCAAUAUUUCUUCUUAUUCUAGUUUAAGCCAUUCCAGUCUUGAUGAAAGGACCAGUCUGAAACAUCAGCUCCAUGUUCCUCUCCAUAGCUGCUGCAUGAUCUGCUGAAUUCCACUAGCAUUUUGUGUUUGUUGCUCUAGAUUUCCAGCAUUUCUAGAAUCUCGUAUUUAGGAAUGCAGACUAUUGUCUGAUCUGCUGGUUGUGAAAUUACUUAGCUCAUCUAUUGCACGCCUGUUUAGCAUGCAUAUAGUUGUAGUAAAGGCUCCAAGAACAGUUACGUCCUCAGUAAUGCUUUGGCCCAAUAUGUGAAUGCUAAUGGCUACGGUAUUUGCAACUUGACAAUCCUCUGAAACUCAUGACCUUUACCACCAAAGAGACUAAGUGCAGUAGGUUCAUGGGAACACAACUAUUUGUAUUUUCAUUCAAGUCACAUCAACACGGCACUGUGUGCUUCAUUAGUUUUAGAUGCUGCUCCUGAUGGCAACUUCUGCAUUCUACUUCAACCAAUGUUAAUUAUCUUGCCAAAUAGUCAUAGUAGAAUGAGGCCAAAAUUUAAAACUGAUGUUUGUACUGUUCUACAUUCCAGAGUCUUCACCCUCUACAAGAAUAAAUUUCUGACACUUUGGCCUACAAUAAUAUGUCAACAUUUUAAUCUACUCCUACAGUGAAUUAGGGGAUUUGGUUAUUUGACUUAAAAUCCAAUAAUUCACAGGAGAUUCAAACAAAAUCUAUUGAGAACUUCAGCUUGAAAUACAUUAGGCCCAAGCUUGAAUAAUCUUUCUGAAUCCAAGAUUGCUUGUGGAAUUUUCAGGUGGUAUUUUUGUGGCAUUUAAUAGUCACAUGUGUUUUUAGAUUUAAUUAACUCUGCAGGUCAUCUCUCAUCUAAAUAUUAUACAUUUUCAUAUUCAGCUUUUUAAUUCUUUCUCCUCCUUUAAACCACCAUAAUUACAUUUUCCUUAGGAGUUAGUACAUGUUACGACAUGUCCUCCAAUAUGCAGACACAGUAGAAACAAGACAGCGGUUGGAUAUUUUUCCGCUUUAAGGUGAUUAUUUAAAUGUACAUCUCAAAAACUAAAUUAUCAAAAUAAAAAAGUAAUUCAAUAGUUGAACACUUUGAAUUCUCGUUUUGGAUGAUUAUUUACAUCUAUGCUUUAUUUAAUCGUACCAACAGAGCACUAGUCACUAUCACUAUCUCACCUAGUCCCUCAACAUCAAGAAAGCACAGCAGCGUCUCCACUUCCCAAGAAUGAGACAAGCAAGGCUUCAAGCCUUCUCUGCCCCUCAUUUUCCUGACCAGCUGCAUCAUUGUCUGGUAUGGGAAUUGCAAGGUAUCAGAUUGCAAGACCCUACUAAGGAUUGGGAGGAUCACUGGGGGGUCUCUCCUCCACCCAGAUAUAUUUAUUAGGACCAUUGCAUACACAGGGCCCUUAGCAUUGUCAAGGAUCCCUCCCACAAUCUCUUUGACCCCCUAUCCUCAAAAGCAGGAGGCACCGUAGGAUUAGGCCAAAGACUAUUAGGAUGGGAAUUAGCCCCUUCCCCCAGGCCAUGAGACUACUGAACUCCCUUGCCACCACCUAGAUCUCAUCACAUAUGAAGCACCAGUAGUGUUAUACUGCUUACUUUUUAAACUUGUAUCAUAUAUGCAUGUUAUGACCAUUGUCAAUCUUCUGGAAUGUUUUACUUGUUAAUUUAUUUGUGGUAAUAUUACUUUUGUGUGAGAGUUAUAUGUACUGUGUUGUGCAACUUGGUCCAGAAGAAAUUGGUUUCAUUUGGUGGUACCCAGAAAUACAGUUGAAUGACAAUAUAAGAAAAAAAACAAUUUGUUAACUGGUAAUCAAGUGCAUGGAACAAAAAAAA